rnacentral:rRNA from 1 species
CCUACGGGUGGCUGCAGUGAGGAAUAUUGGUCAAUGGGCGCGAGCCUGAACCAGCCAAGUCGCGUGAGGGAUGACGGCCCUACGGGUUGUAAACCUCUUUUGCCGGGGAGCAACGGGCGCCACGUGUGGCGCCACUGAGAGUACCCGGAGGCAAAGCAUCGGCUAACUCCGUGCCAGCAGCCGCGGUAAUACGGAGGAUGCGAGCGUUAGCCGGAUUUAUUGGGUUUAAAGGGUGCGCAGGCGGAGGUGCAAUCCAGCGGUGAAAUUGCGGGGCUCAACCCCGUACUGCCGUUGAAACUGCAUCCCUUGAGUGCGCGAGAGGUAUGCGGAAUGCGUGGUGUAGCGGUGAAAUGCAUAGAUAUCACGCAGAACUCCGAUUGCGAAGGCAGCAUACCGGCGCGCAACUGACGCUCAUGAACGAAAGCGUGGGUAUCGAACAGGAUUAGAUACCCCAGUAGUC